GGUGGGAUUCCCGAGCGGCCAAAGGGAGCAGACUGUAAAUCUGCCGUCACCAGACUUCGAAGGUUCGAAUCCUUCUCCCACCA
rnacentral:tRNA from 1 species